UAUUCACGUAAUAUUUCAUCGGUCGUACAUUUUCCUGAGUUCCACAUUAGGGAUUCUCUUGCGGCCUUGCUUUGUCCGACUCCGGAGGCAAAGGGGCUGAAGUAGCGAGGGCCGGCGAUAAUGGCAACAGCCAAACCUGAUGACACUCUACAUCCUCCUCAACUCGUCGCCAGCGGCGAAGCUACUCCUGCUCCGGUCAUCCUCCACCCGAACGAUUCCCGCGUUCGCUCCCUUUGCGAAAUCCUCUCCCGCACCCAGACGACGGAACUGGAACGCGCUUUCUCCAGCUGCGGCAUCAUCCCGGUCCCCGAGCUCGUGGAGGCCGUCCUCUGCCUCUCGUACUCCUACCCUUCCUCCGCCGUUCAGUUCUUUCGUUGGUCAGGUCUCUCCCUGAAGCACACACCCCGCGCCUGGAACCUCAUGAUCGACAUUCUCGGCCGCAAUGGCCUUUUUGAUGCCAUGUGGGACGCCAUCCGCUCGAUGAAGCAGGAGGGUGGCAUACUGUCUGCCGCUACUUUCGCCUCAGCCUUCGGCUCUUACUGCGCCGCAGGUAAGAUUAAAGAGGCCAUCAUGACCUUCGACGUCAUGGAUCGCUACGGCGUUUCACAGGACGUCGUUGCCGUUAACUCCCUUCUCAGCGCCAUCUGCCGCCAAGACGGCCGCACCGCCGACGCUGCCGACUUCUUUGACCGCAUCAAGGCCCGCGUGCCCCCUGACGCCGAUACGUUCGCCAUCCUCUUUGAGGGCUGGGAGAAGGAGGGAAACACCGCCCGCGCCAAGACAACCUUCGGCGAGAUGAUCAUCCGCGUCGGCUGGAACGCCAACAACAUGUCCGCUUAUGACGCCUUUCUCAGCACUCUUGUCCGGGCCGCCCAGCCUCAGGAGGCCCUCAAGUUCCUCAUGGUCAUGAAGUCCAAUAACUGCCUCCCCGGUCUCAAAUUUUUCAGUAACGCCCUUGACAUCCUCGUCAAGCACAAUGACUCCGAUCAUGCCCUUGCUCUAUGGGAUAUCAUGGUAACCGACAGUGGCCUCGUCCCCGAUUUGGUCAUGUUCAACGCGAUGAUCUCCCUCCUCUGCAACAACCAAAAGAUUGACUUUGCCUUUCGCUAUCUUGAUGAUAUGCCCUUUUAUGGUGCUUUCCCCGACUCUCGCACCUACAAUGCUAUUUUUGAGUGUCUUAUCAGGAAUAAUCGGGCUCGUGAGGCUGAGUUGUUCUUUAGGGAGAUGAAGAAAAACGAGCUGCCGCCGACUCCCUCCAACUGCGCCGCUGCUAUCAGGAUGUUCUUCGAUCAGUUCGACCCCGCAGCUGCUCUUGACGUGUGGAGCUACCUCAUGGAGGAGCUAAUGACGCCAGACAAUGAGUCUGCCAAUGAGCUACUCCUAGGUUUGGCAGAGUUUGGGAGGUUGAGUUUUGUGGCAAGAUAUGCCGAGGAUAUGCUUGACAGGGGCAUAGAGUUGCGGCUUACUGUGAUCGAGAAGUUGAAGAAUUUCUUUCAAAAGGCAGGAAAACCUGACUUGUACGAUCGUAUUACAAGAAAGAUGAACCGGCAGUAGCAGUUUGUAUGGCUGCACAAGAUUCAUAGAGAUGCUUCUCAGAUGUGAAGCCUUACUACUGAAAGUCUGGUAUUCAGUAGAUAAAUGCAAGUCUGAUCCGAAUCUAUCUUAUAAAAUGAGAUAAAAUGUUAAGGUAUCUUCUGGAGCUUUGUUCCCUUAGAAGUUGAUAGUUUAUGAUAACUCUUAUUUCACAUAAUUCUAUCAUGUAAUCUUAUGCUGUUCUCAUGAUUAUUGGAUUUUUAAGAGUCUUUGCAUCCCUGCUUGUGACCUCCAGCAACCCUCUGAGCCAAGCAUGUGACAGUUUUACUAAUGAGAAAGAAUUAAGCUUAUUUAUGGUGCUAGGGAUGGCCUCUUAAUCUUCCUAAUGCAGCUUUGUCCAAUUCCUUAGCUGGACGGAUUUCUUAGCAACAUUUUAAGUCAUGAGAAAAGGGUUAAGUUCGAGCUGGAAUGAGGGGCAUGGUACCAACUAUAUUGCUUUUGACGACGGGAGGAGUUGAAUAGUUUGCUUGUUCUUAAACUUCUGCCCUAGGUGAUUAAGAGGGGUUUUAAAGCUUCAAAGUCGUUUUUUCCUUUAAUAUCUUGCAGGAAAAAAAAAAAAAAGGUGUACGUAAGUUGGAUUUUUUUCUACCCUUACGAGGGGAGAGAAUAUCAUUUUCCUUAACAUUCAAUCCUACACCCACAAUCUUCUAGUUUUGUAGUUCCAUGCUAGAAAGAAUAGAUUUUCUAGUUUCUUCAUCCGUAUCAAACAACACCCUGUAAUCCAUGUCACUGGAAAAGGAUUUUUGGACUUGUGCUUGUUGCACACAGUAUAGAGAUAUGAAUAAAAAUUGGGCACAACUUGAGCAUUUUAAUUAACAUGAA